CCCUUAGAUGUCCUGGGCUGCACGCGCGCUACACUGGAAGUUACGGAUUGAGAUACUACCUUGUCCGAAAUGGUCCGGGUAAUCACCUAAAAGCUUGUCAUAAUUGGAAUGGAUUAUUGUAGCUAGUAAUCCUGAACGAGGAAUUCCUAGUAAGUCCCAGUCAACAGCUGGUACUGAUUACGUCCCUGCCCUUUGUACACACCGCCCGUCGCUACUACUGAUUGGACGUUUAAGCAAGAUUUUUAAACACUGACAGUGUGUAGUUCACGCUAUACUACAGUGAGAAGAAGAAGAUCGAGCUUACUUGUCUAGAGGAAGUAAAAGUCGUAACA
rnacentral:rRNA from 1 species